GGACAUGCUGAGGAACCAGCUCUGGAGCCUUCCAGUGGACAAGCAGACAGCUCCCGUGAGCAAGCAGACAUGUGUGGCUGUGGGAUCAGAUGAAGAAUUGCACUUUGGCUCAGCUUCCCAUGUUCACUACCCAGGAACAAAUUCCUCAAGAUCCUGAAAGAGAACUGAACAUUUGUCAGCCUGACAACUCCAGGAACCAGCUCACUGCAGUUAAGGGUGAGUUAAUCUCUGAUGUCCUUCUCAUCAACCACCUCUUGUAAACACCUGGUGACGCUUUACAGCACAAGGUCAAAGAUAAAGCCAGACACAUUUUUAAAAAGGGGGAGCAUUGGAAUACAGAAUACUCUCCUGCCUUAAAUAGAACCAGAUUAAUCUAAAUGCAAAAUGUGGAGCAAUGUCUAAGAUAUGAUGUUAAGUGAAAAAAACAAAGGUUGCAAAAUAGUAUACACACUGUGAGUUCAUUUUUAUAACCCCAUUUAUAUUUAAUGCUUUUAUGUAUAGAAAAAGAGUGGAAAGGAUGUUUAUCAGUCUGUUAUAUAGAAAGAGUUAUGAGAGGACUUUGAAUUUUUUAUAGUCAUGUCUGUUAUUUUUGCAAUCAGUAAAUAGUUUUUUGUAAAAGGGACUUGAGAUAACAACUCUUACUUUCAUACCAUUUAUUUUUUUGCUUUACCAUUAAAAGAAUUUUACCUAAUUAAAGGAAUCUCUAUGUAUAUCUUUGUUUAGAUUUUUAUUAUCUCUGAUUUCUAACUUAUUCUUGCCUCAAAAAAAAAAAAAAAACAUAUCUCCAAGCACUUCAGAUUUCUCACAAACUUCAUCCUGACACCAGCCUGGGGAAAUCUGAGAAGCAGGGAUCAUUCCACAGCCCCUCAGAAAAAUAGUUCGUUGGGGAAGUGGUUGAGGGACAGUUAUUCACUGUGUUCAUUCAACAUACACUACUGAGUCCCGCUGUGUAUCAGGCUGUGUGCUUGCUUCCAGGGCCAGUUGACAAAAGAGAUUAGAAUUUCAAGGAAAUACUCUAGGCUAUUCGGUUGCAUUAGGACUACAGGUUUGCCCCACAGUACAGGGUGGUGGGUAAGAAUGGGGGUUGGAGAGUCAGGCACCAAUAACCUCAGGGGCAUCUGCCAGUUAAGGAGUGGGUCAGAUGCUAAUAACAACAACCAGAAAUAACAUGGGAUUAAACAAGAUAGAAGUUUGUUUUUCCUUCAUUUAGGCAGACGUGCCUGGAGGGAGGCAGUGUGAUGCUGGUACAGAAAGUCAUGGUCAUCAAGGACCCAGGCUCCUCUGUCCUUCUGCCUUGCCAUCCGUAGGUUGUGGCCUCCUUUCUCAAGGUCACAAGAGUUGGUGCUGGAGCGUUAGCCAUCAAAUCUGUACUCUAGGCAGGUGGCAGGAAACAGAGGAAAAGAGUAAGAAAAAAAAAGCCCACAUAAGCCCAUAACCUUAUUAAGAAGCUUAUUUGGAAGUCUUACCCAGUGACCUCUGCUUCCAUUUUAUGGGGAUAGUGGCCUAUAAAAGAGUCUGGAAAAUGUAGAAAAAUAUAGACUUUGAGCUGUCCGUAUUGCCUGCUCGGGUGAAGUCAGGCUUCCCUUUACAAGUGAGAAGGGGACUUUACAUCCUAGCUGGGUACCUAGCUGUCUCUGCCCCAGGGACAUACCUUGCCUGCUUCCCCACUACUAGAAGAUUAAAUAAGAUACUUGUAAAGCCUUCAAAUGUCACCUCUCCUUGGAAGCCUUCUUUGGUAAAGUUGGUCAUUUUUUAAAUUUAUGGAUCCAAUGGCACAUUGUUCACACCCAAAUCCUACCACUGGCUGGGGUUUAUUGUAAUUUUGCAUGACUAUCUCCCCAGUGGACUUUGAGGCCAGGGGUGAGGCCUUAUCCAUCUUUGCUGGAGUGCUGGCAUUCUGUGGAUUCUCAAUCAAUCUUUAUGGAAUAAAUCAAAGAAUUUCCCUCUAUUCCUUUCUUGA
ensembl:lncRNA